GGCUUUGUAGUGUAAUAAACAUUUCGGAUUGCAAAUCCCUAGAUGUAACUAAAAUGUUACCAAAGCUU